GCCUAGAAAAACUCAGUCUGAUUUCUCCUU
rnacentral:piRNA from 1 species